AUGGAUGACCCUUUAGGGAAUUCUAGGAUAAGGAUUACCCCGAGGUCGCCACACUUAGAGGAAGUCCAGGCAAGAAGGAGAGACCCGGUGAAAGUGUUCCAAUUGAUACCUCUGUUGACAUCACAACUGACAAAUAGCAUCAGCCACCAGACAAAUGAGAGAAGACAUCUCCAGAUGAUGCCAGCUCCCAGCCCUUGAGUCACCCCUAGCCAUUAUGUCUUCCCAACUGAGGCCCCAGACUAUGAGCACAAACAAGGUAUUUGAAUUAUGCCUUGUCCAAAUUCCUGAUCCACAGAAUCUGUGAGCAUAAUAAAAUGCUUCUUUAAGCUACUGAUUUGGAUGUAAUUUGUUACAAGACAAUAGUCAGUGCAACAAUAGCAUCCACAACUCUUUCAAAGGCAUUCUCUGUAGUCUUCUUGAACAAUGAAGAUUGAACAAUGUUGGCAGAAUCAAUUUCAUAGUCCUUAGGAUGUAUUGCUUAGUGGUCUAGCACCUCAAUCAGACAUUAUUCUUAGGCUUUGGGCCACUGGUGAAACUUAAAGACAAAAGAGCCCCAUUUUAAUAUCUGACUAUUUCACAGCCAGGAUGGAUCAAGCAGAAAUGCCACUUCUUCCAUACCGGGG
rnacentral:lncRNA from 1 species